CUCUUUCAUCCACACACACCUGUGCACUUGUAGACGGAGGGACAAGAAUUUAUUUAUUUAUUUUUUUGGCCUUCCGUCUAUUUAUAAUACACAAACUCAUUUAUUUUAAACUGAAUGUAAUUGAUGUAACGCAUCAUUUGAACUAAGUUUCAACAACGGAUCUCUUGGCUCUCGCAUCGAUGAAGAACGCAGCGAAAUGCGAUAAGUAAUGUGAAUUGCAGAAUUCAGUGAAUCAUCGAAUCUUUGAACGCACCUUGCGCUCCUUGGUAUUCCUCGGAGCAUGCCUGUUUGAGUAUCAUGAAAUUAUCAAAGCAAGUCUUUUUGUUAAUUCAAUUGGUUUGCUUUGGAUUUGGAGGCUCUUGCAGAUUUACUUCUGCUCCUCUUAAAUGCAUUAGCUGGAUCUCAGUAUAUGCUCGGUUCCACUCGGCGUGAUAAGUAUCACUCGCUGAGGACACUGUAAAAGGUGGCCGGGAAAUACAGAUGAACUGCUUCUAAUAGUCUAUUUAAUUGGACAAUUAAUUUUUAAGAUCUGAUCUCAAAUCAGGUAGGACUACCCGCUGAACUU
rnacentral:rRNA from 1 species